rnacentral:rRNA from 1 species
GACGAACGCUGGCGGCGUGCCUAACACAUGCAAGUCAACUUGACUGAAGGAGCAAUCUGACAGUAGAGUGGCGCAAGGGUGCGUAACGCGUAAGUAACUUGCCCAAGGUAAGGAAUAACGUCGAGAAAUCGGCGCUAAUACCUCAUAAUGCAGCGGAUCCGCAUGGAUAUGUUGUUAAAGGUUUACCGCCUUGGGAUAGGCUUGCGUCUGAUUAGCUAGUUGGUGUGGUAACGGCACACCAAGGCUACGAUCAGUAACUGGUCUGAGAGGAUGAUCAGUCACACUGGAACUGAGACACGGUCCAGACUCCUACGGGAGGCAGCAGUGAGGAAUAUUGGGCAAUGCUCGAAAGAGUGACCCAGCAACGCCGCGUGGAGGAUGAAGGUAUUCUAUAUCGUAAACUCCUAGUGAGAGCAGACGAAAGACAGAUUAUUAAUCUGGAUGACUGUAUGCUCAGAGGAA